ensembl:lncRNA
AAUUACAGAUAAUUCCUGACCUUGACUAUAUGGACUUCAGAAGUUAAUCUCUGCUGGCAUCAUUUCCCAAGGAAUAUUACCACCAUCAAUUCCAAUAUGAUACAUAUUUGUAUAAAGAAGAUAGUUCCAACUGCAAGGAAGAACACCAAACAUUGAGUAUGGGGAAGAGGGGGAGAAUCAUUGUCCCCAGUCCAGAGUAUGAAAGACAGCCCACAGUCCGACAGGAGACCGUGAUGUUCUUCAACGAACAGAGCUGUGUACCUGGAGCCCAGCAAGCAAAAAACAGAAGAUGCAGGAGGGUCAGGGCGACUGGAACCGGCCAUGCAAAGACUUACAACACUUGGACCGUUGUCUGGAUUUAAUUCUAUGGUUUUAUUUAGCAAUGCAUAAUCCGAUAUUUGCCUAUAGAAGAUCACUCUUUCUGCUGUGUAAAGAACGGACCAUAGCCAAUUGAGACUGAAAGCAAGAAACCCAGGGAGGAGGAUGUUACUGUGGCCUAGGCAAAACAUGUAGUGACUAGACUUGAGAAGGGUGGUCCUGGAGGUGGCAAGUUCAGUGUGGAAGAUAGGGCUAACAGCCUGGCUGAUGGGUUGGGAGGAAUUAAGGAUGCUUUCAAGGGUCUGGGCUAGAGCAAGUGUAUGCAUCCCUCUCUGGGCAACAUUGUCGUCUAGGGAAAUUUACAUGAUCAUGAGAAGUGCCGCAAAAGAUAAAAGCUACAAUCUUCAAAUAAAAGCUAUAAUUCUAUUCUUUAAACAUUAGGCAGUCAUUGAGCUUUUUCCGUGGACAGCAUGACUCAUAUUCAUAUUAAUGCUGAUGUGCAUUUUUAAGUGAAAGAGUUUAAAAACAGCACGGAGAGUGUCUCACAGGUGUAAAUGCCACUCAAUAUGUGUGUGAGAGAGAGUGGAAUAGAGAUGUUGUAAAGGCUAUGUGUUUGGGGGCAAGGCAAGGUUGCUAGAAGCAGCUGGCCUAGAAAUAUCAACAGUGAUUUCAGGGAUUUGGAAGUUUGGGCCUAAUUUGAAAACAGUUUUUUGGAUGAAAUUAUUUAUGAAUUGAUUUACAGUGAAGCAAAAGUAUAAUUUAGUUUCACCACAGUAUGACUAAUAUUUGAGGUCUUAUUCUAAAUUUAAGAAUAAUAGUUAUGGUCUAGAAUCUAAACCAUGGUUUGAUGAAAGCUUUCAUUUAUAUAAAAAUUGAGGAGUGAGAUUGUAGACUACCCUUUGUGAUUAUUUUAAGUUUUCUCAAGAUGUUGCCAUUUCAAAAGGUUGUUGAAAACAGCAUGAACAGGAAAACAGCUUAAGGACACCGGUACCUGAUACAGUCAAAGAUCAGGGUAUUUUUAAAACUGAAAUAAAUGUUGAGGAAGUAGAUAAAGUUUAUUUUCAGUAGUACUCAGAUCUGACACCAAAUAAUAAUAUUUGCCAGAAAAUAAUUCAAACAAAGGAUUUAUUGGGAAACAACCUAAUACUAAAUUUGAUUCAAUUUAACCAUAAGAACUAUUUUAAACAUAAUUUAGUCCAAGACACUUUUCACAAAUAUAGAGUUACAGUAAGAUUCUAUUUUUCCGAAUAAGUUAUUAAUCUUGCUGAAAGUAAAUAGUUGCAGCAAGGUAUUCUCUUAGACUACUUGAGUCCCUUUUUAUUCCCAAGACAUCAACAUUAUUGUCUGACUUUAUCGAUCCAGCAAAACAAUCAGCUUUUCCUAAAUUUUUCAAACUUUUCACUAAGUCAAAUUGACCCUUUAGUUCACUAAAACAUUCACUCUUUCUUGCGCUGAGAAAGUCACAGACCAAAUUUAGCCAAAGAUAGUAUCUCAAAUAACUGACAAAUCUUUGCCCCUCCUCAUUUAAUAAAUUCAAUGGAAUUAAAAACAAAACAAAACAAAAACAAAAAACAAACAAACAAAAAACUAAAUUGCAAAUGCUAUUGCAUUGCAGAAAACAUGAGUAUCCUGCAAGAAGUCAAAUAGAAAUCCUUUGAAAAUGAUUAAUCAAAAAAAAAAAAAAAAAGCGUCGGAGGACCUGCACAAGGUUCCUAAGAAUGUUGAUUUUCUUCUGCUAGUUUUGAGGUUAAGCCUCAUCUGUCUAAUGUGACAGAGAAUGGCUACUAAUUAUCACAAACCUCACAGUGCUGGUGCUAA